GACGAACGCUGGCGGCGUGCUUAAUACAUGCAAGUCGAACGGAAAGGCCCUGCUUUUGUGGGGCGCUCGAGUGGCGAACGGGGGAGUAACACGUGAGUAAACUGCUCUUUACUUUGGGAUAAAUUCAGGGAACAGGGGCGAAUACCGGAUAGGAUAUCCUGCAGCAUGGUGUGGGUUGGAAAGUUUCGGUGGUUGGGGAUGGUCUCGCGGCUUAUGAGCUUGUUGGUGGGGUAGUGGCUUACCAAGGCUUGGACGGGUAGCCGGCCUGAGAGGGUGACCGGCCACAUUGGGACUGAGAUACGGCCCAGACUCCUACGGGAGGCAGCAGUGGGGAAUAGUGCACAAUGGGCGGAAGCCUGAUGCAGCAACGCCGCGUGCGGGAUGACGGGUUUCGGGUUGUAAACCGCUUUCGCCUGUGACGAAGCGUGCGUGACGGUAAUGGGUAAAGAAGCAACGGCUAACUACGUG
rnacentral:rRNA from 1 species